rnacentral:lncRNA from 1 species
GGGUUUAGAGUUUAGGGUUUAGGGUUUAGAGUUGAGAAAUGAGGUUUUAGGGAUAAGAUUUCAAAUUUUGAAAAAUAAAAAAAUUAAAAUUUUCAAAGGAUAAACUUAAAAAGGUGCUAUUUUGGUCAUUUUAGUUUUUUAGUGCUAUUUUUGUGAUAUAAACUUAGAAAUGUGCUAUUUUGGAGAUUUGCCCUAACAUAUAUAUAUGUGCUAGUAAUAGGUGUCUGCUGGUUCGGCCAGAGGUGAAACAUUUGACGAUUGGAUACGUGAGAUGGUCGUU